GUAAUGGCCUUUAGCCCAGUUAUUUCCAGCUCCAUUUUGGCCAAAAACAAAAUUGUCAGGCCUAAAGAUAUUCCCAUAAGGACCAGUCCUCAAGCUGUCCAUGGUUCCUGGCUCAAGGUCCAUUAGCACAGCUCUAGGCACAUAGCGGCCACCACUGGCCUCAUUGUAGUAAACAUUAACCCUCUCAAGUUGAACCUGAGAGUUGCCAACAUAGUUCCCUGUUGCAUCAAUGCCAUGUUCAUCACACACAACCUCCCAAAACUUGCCUCCAAUUUGGUUCCCACAUUGACCAGCUUGAAUAUGGAGAAUUUCUCUCAUUUUGGUAUAUACUGAUAAUGGGUGUUUCUUGGAAGAGUAGAGAGGGGAGGGCGAAGAAGAAUGGGAUGGUGCAGGGCUUUUGUAGGAUGUAAAGAGAUAGGAUUUUAAGAUUGUGACAUUGAUAU
rnacentral:misc_RNA from 1 species